AUUAGUAUGCUUACCAGGAGGUAAAAUCCUGGCUGCUAUAAUUAGACAAGGUUAUUCGCCCCUUUUCAAUGAGUCAUUCCUCUGAGAAUAGAUUAAAUGUAUUUAAAAAAAAAAACACAACACUUUUCGCUUGUUAAAAGCCUAGCAGAAAAAGGAGAGAGUUACAGAAGAAUGUAUUAACAAGUUAAUCUUAAGAAGGCCUGAAAUUGCACUGAAAUGCAGAAAAUGCCGACUCAUAAAGAUUACUGAAUAUUAACCCAGGAGCAAGACAGGAAUUUCCUUUUAUGAGUGGCAGAGUCCCACAUGCUUCUUCUGAGAUGUUUCUUCCUAAUCCAAAAUGCAAUUCAUUUUGCAUUUCCUGUCGAGUUGCUAUGGAAUUCCCAUGAUGUUUUUGUUGACUGCGUGGACAGCAUCCAUCAGAGAAAUGGAGCAAGGAUAUGCUUUUACAGGGAAAGAAAAUAUAUGAGUAAAUUGGAGGUGCUGGCUUCUCUAAAUUCUUGCAGAUACAACUUCCUGUAUACAUGCUCUAUAGUUGCAGGGAGCAAUCACCUUGCCACUAAGAAGACUUCUCUCUGCAGUUUGUGGACAUCUGACACAACUUUGCUUCUCAAAAGCUCACCCCAAACUACUUAA